AUUGAACGCUGGCGGCAGGCCUAACACAUGCAAGUCGAGCGGAUGAAGGGAGCUUGCUCCUGGAUUCAGCGGCGGACGGGUGAGUAAUGCCUAGGAAUCUGCCUGGUAGUGGGGGCUAACGUCCGGAAACGGGCGCUAAUACCGCAUACGUCCUGAGGGAGAAAGUGGGGGAUCUUCGGACCUCACGCUAUCAGAUGAGCCUAGGUCGGAUUAGCUAGUUGGUGGGGUAAAGGCCUACCAAGGCGACGAUCCGUAACUGGUCUGAGAGGAUGAUCAGUCACACUGGAACUGAGACACGGUCCAGACUCCUACGGGAGGCAGCAGUGGGGAAUAUUGGACAAUGGGCGAAAGCCUGAUCCAGCCAUGCCGCGUGUGUGAAGAAGGUCUUCGGAUUGUAAAGCACUUUAAGUUGGGAGGAAGAGCAGUAAGUGAAUACCUUGCUGUUUUGACGUUACCAACAGAAUAAGCACCGGCUAACUUCGUG
rnacentral:rRNA from 1 species